ACAUGACUAAAAGACGGAACGGAACCAGAAACGGACUGGAAUACGGACCAGAAAACGGACUGAAAAUACUGAAAUAAGUGUGACACGACAGUGAGUGUGAGACAGCGUGUCUGUGUGUGACAAUAUCCUCGGAUCUUUCCAGGCAAGCCUAGGUUUAUCUAUAGUCACCUUGUAUCAAGUUAAGAUACACUGUAGCAUGACUGAGUAAGUGCCAGCUACUGCGCCCGAACGAGUAUGAUCACUUCUUUUUACUGUAGUGCGCGGGAUUCUCCUAGUAUUACCUGUGAGACAGAGCACUGGAGUGAUGAUGCAUGGUCACCACCACUACUUCCAAGUCCUCUGGCGCCCCUGAAAGACACAAUGGAUGACUCUUCAGGGACUUUAGAUGAUGCCAUUACUGAAGUCACACCCACACAGGAAGUUAUUGAUCUUACUGUUAGUAGUCAGGAUAGCAGUCAGGACUCCAGCUGUGCCACUACAGAUGAGAAAGACUUAAUCAUACAAUACUUUGAUGGUGAUAAGAAUAUACCUUUUAUUGCUGAGUGUCCUAGUUACUCUGCUGAGACAGUUAUGCAUCUUUUUUUUGAUCAUGACAGAAAAAUGGUGUGCUCUAAACAACCUAUUGGUUGUAGAACCAGUGCUUCUUUUAUAAUAAAUUCUUCAAUGCUUUCUCAUCACAGUGACGUUCGUGCUGAUGACCUUGGGUCCUGGAACAACAGAGGUGUGAAGACAAGUUACUUUAGUGUUUCUUUUUCAUCAAAUGGAAAAAUCAAUCGUCUCACAAGUCUUGGAUCAAGAAAGCCUUCUGUGUUACGAAGCUCUAUAUACAUGUUGAAGCGUACAUAUUGGAAGCAUAGUGAAGAUCCAAAGUUUUCUCGCCGACUGUUUGAAUUACAAGGUAUAAUGAACUUAUUGUUUUCCUACUAAAUUUGUGUGUCUUUUUGCCUGCAUAUAAUAGAUCAUGAGCAAAAUCACUAUCAUAUUAUAUUGCUGCAGUACUUUCACCCAACUACUGCUGUUGAGGAUAUUGGUCAGAAACCUCAUAGGAAUAGUAAGUGUGGUGCCACUUACAUUCGAACAAAACAAAGUGUUCGCAAUAUAAUCAUAGACACUUGUAAAGAAAGUCAACCGCCCACUCAGUUGUUUGAUGAAGUAUUUG